rnacentral:rRNA from 1 species
AGCGAACGCUGGCGGCAGGCCUAACACAUGCAAGUCGAACGAACUCUUCGGAGUUAGUGGCGGACGGGUGAGUAACACGUGGGAACGUGCCUUUAGGUUCGGAAUAACUCAGGGAAACUUGUGCUAAUACCGAAUGUGCCCUUCGGGGGAAAGAUUUAUCGCCUUUAGAGCGGCCCGCGUCUGAUUAGCUAGUUGGUGAGGUAAAGGCUCACCAAGGCGACGAUCAGUAGCUGGUCUGAGAGGAUGAUCAGCCACAUUGGGACUGAGACACGGCCCAAAUGCCGCGGGGGGGGGGAGGGGGGGAAUUUGGCGAAAGGGGAGAAAGCCUGAAGACGCCAGGCGGGGGAAAGAAUGAGGUUCUAAGGAUUAAAAAAUUCUUUCCGCGGGGCAGAUAAGGACGGAACCCGAAGAAGAAGCCCCGGCUAACUUCGUG